UACGGAGGUCGCAAGCGAAGUUCGGAAUCACUGGGCGUAAAGCGCGUGUAGGCGGCUUGGCAAGUCGGGUGUGAAAUCCCGAGGCUCAACCUCGGAACUGCACUCGAAACUGCCUGGCUCGAGUCCCGGAGAGGGUGGCGGAAUUCCCGGUGUAGGGGUGAAAUCCGUAGAUAUCGGGAGGAACACCAGUGGCGAAGGCGGCCACCUGGACGGUGACUGACGCUGAGACGCGAAAGCGUGGGGAGCAAACAGG
rnacentral:rRNA from 1 species